CCUAGUGGUUAGAGUGUAGAGGAGGUAGGUAGCCUAGUGGUUAGAGUGUAGAGGAGGUAGGUAGCCUAGUGGUUAGAGUGUAGAGGAGGCAGGUAGCCUAGUGGUUAGAGUGUAGAGGAGGUAGGUAGCCUAGUGGUUAGAGUGUAGAGGAGGUAGGUAGCCUAGUGGUUAGAGUGUAGAGGAGGUAGGUAGCCUAGUGGUUAGAGUGUAGAGGAGGUAGGUAGCCUAGUGGUUAGAGUGUAGAGGAGGCAGGUAGCCUAGUGGUUAGAGUGUAGAGGAGGUAGGUAGCCUAGUGGUUAGAGUGUAGAGGAGGUAGGUAGCCUAGUGGUUAGAGUGUAGAGGAGGUAGGUAGCCUAGUGGUUAGAGUGUAGAGGAGGCAGGUAGCCUAGUGGUUAGAGUGUAGAGGAGGUAGGUAGCCUAGUGGUUAGAGUGUA